UACGAAGGGGGCUAGCGUUGCUCGGAAUCACUGGGCGUAAAGGGUGCGUAGGCGGGUCUUUAAGUCAGGGGUGAAAUCCUGGAGCUCAACUCCAGAACUGCCUUUGAUACUGAGGAUCUUGAGUUCGGGAGAGGUGAGUGGAACUGCGAGUGUAGAGGUGAAAUUCGUAGAUAUUCGCAAGAACACCAGUGGCGAAGGCGGCUCACUGGCCCGAUACUGACGCUGAGGCGCGAAGGCGUGGGGAGCGAACGGG
rnacentral:rRNA from 1 species